AUGCUACACCUUGAUGCAGCUUCUCCUCCACUGCUGACGCUGCAGGCUUUGUUUCGGUGCGACACAGCAGAGUCUCUGUGCAGCUCUGGCAGAGAUGGAGGAGGUGAAAAUGGAUGCUUCUUGAGGGAACAAGCUGCAGACGGUGAUCUCUACCGUGCAGAUUCACCAGGACAGCAAACAGCACUGAGUGAUUUGCUGAUAAACUAUGAUGAGCCUCAUCUUUUCAGCUGCAAAAGUGCUGCUAUUCCAGAUAUUUCAGUUUCGUAAAUCCUCUUCUUGCCAUUGCUGAUCUACAUCUGACGUCAUCCAUGAACCGAGAUGUUCCAAAUGAUGAACCUGCUUCAGUGUUUCUUGGUUUAAUUCUAUGUUACAGAUUAGGAUGGCAUUUUUCUUUGAAAUUAUCAUUACUUCUGUUUUCUUUUUGUUUAAAGACAGACCACAUGUUGGUCUCUCUGUAUCGAUUACGGUGUCGUCACUGGUCGCUAACAGCACUGUGUCGUCUGCAUAACGUAGGAUAUUUAUGUUACAACCUCCGAUGGAUUCUCCUAAUAAGUCUUGUGUUUUCCUCAUGAUGCUUUCACUGUACAAGGAGAACAUGUCAAAGAAAAAUGUUUCGUCUUUUGUACAUCCUUUCCAUCUCUGUUUGUCCUUCAGCGUCUGGAUUACUGCUUGAUGCUUUACUGUGUCGAAAGCUUUGGCGUAACCGAUGAAACACGUGUAGAAGUCUUGCUGUUCUUCUAUUGACCUUUCCAGAAUGUGAUUUGGUGCCGCAUAAAUAAAACUGAAGGAAAUAA